AUAAAUGUUAAAAAUGUUGACUCAAUCGUUUCAAUACUCUUAUCUUAAAUUGUUGUCUUGGUUCAAACAUUUCUUUGUUCUUUCCAAUAUAUUUCGCUUGCACCCAAGUUUUUUUCACAAGUCUUAAUUAUUCCAAGUUAUUUUUUUUUAAAAGUCGAGAAAAGAUAUGUGUUUGUUCUUACAAAGGCUUCGAUAAACUAAACUAAAAAAAAGGAAACCUUCUUUGUAAUGGUUGCAAAAAUCAGGAAACUGAUUAAUAACUUGCCUACAUGUCGCGUGGUAUGGCACAGAUUUGUAUCCAUAAAAUAGUCAAACAGUUGGGCAUUUAUCAACUCAUAUCUGCCACCCAACAAUAUAAGGCAACUUUACAGCAGAUCCAUAAAAUGUAUGACAACAAAUUAGUGUGCUGCGACUAAUGGCUCGAACAGGCUUUUCUGGGUUGGGCCUGGUUCGAUUAGAUGGCUUCACACUGGAAACGGCUGAGCUAUUAGGCCAAUGAGGGAUACAGUGGAUAGAAAUUAUGAUAUUUUAGCAUUUCGGUUAGUGACAAGACUAAAAUCGUAGAAAAUGUUGAAUAUUUGGUAAUUUCAUUGAUGUAUUAUAAAAUAAUCAGUAAUUCUAAUAAAGUUAAUUAAAAUUUGUAUCGUU